AAUAGUGUAAACUGAAUGUUAACUUGUUGUAACACCGUGAUUUCCAAAAACAAAAUUUUUCAUUUAAAUAAUCAAUUUAAUAUUAAAACACUUCUUUAAAAUCUUAUUCACAUUCGAAUUACAAAAUAUAGUUUCAUUUUCAUUUGAAUAGACAACCAGGAUCCUCCAAAGCACAACUCUUUCUUCGGUGUGUACAAUCGAACCGUUGCCAUCCCGCGUUACUAUAAGAACCUGAAACAACAUAACAUAAACAACGUAAGCACGAAGCUUAGUGAGUUCCCCAAUAUACCUUACGCACAUACGCCUUUCCAGGCCCUGACCCUCCGGUCAACAUAACAUUGCCUUCCGGCCCGGACCUUUCGGUCCACAUAACAUUGCCUUCCGGCCCGGACCAUUCGGUCCACAAUAUAUAUCGCCUUCCGGCCCAUAAGAUAAUUGCCUUCCGGCCCAUACACAUAUAUAACACAUAAUACAAAUACUCUAACACAUAAAGCACAUAUAUCAUAUAUCAUACCUGACCUUUCUGUCACAUAAUACCUUGCCUUCCGGCCCAUAUAUAAGCAUGUAUAUCACGCGUAGCAGCUAACUUUCCAUUUAUAGCAUAUAAACAUAACACAUAACAUACUUGACC
rnacentral:lncRNA from 1 species